rnacentral:lncRNA from 1 species
GCAAGAGGGAGGCAGAAGAGAGAGAAGUGGAGAAACGGCAGCAUGAGGGGGACUUGGCCUGAUCUUGCUAGCUUUGAAGAUAGAGAAAUGGGGUAAUGAGCCAAGGAAUGCAGGCAGCCUCUAAAAAAGAAGAAAAAGCAAGAAAACAAAUUAUCCCUGGGAGCCUUCAGAAAGAAACACAGCCCUGGCAACACCAGGAUUUUAGCCCGGCAAAACCCAUUUCAGACUUCCGAUCUCCAGAACAUUUCAUUGGAUAAAUCCUGAGAAGAUUGGGGGGCAAAGGAGGAAGGGUGCUCUGAGGACUUGCUUACGUGAUCCAAACGUCUGGAUCAUACAAAUGACUAAGAAGUCAGCUCAAUAGUACCUUAUCUACUGGAUAAAAGGUCUCUAGAGUCAAUAGUUUUUCUCACAUAUGCUAUCACAUUUUUAACUUCAUUACUUGAUGAAUAACAGGUGGGCUAAGAGAUAAGUGGAUAAGUAUGGUGCUAUUUUUGAAGAGAAAAUAAUUGUUUAUAGAUGAAUGAUUUGGGAACAUUACAAGACUCUUGGCAGGAAUGUAAAAGUUUUCAGCUUUCAGGCAUAACCAUGUCUUAUAUCUUCAGAACUGAGUAUCCAAGGCAUAUUCACGGUAUCGAAUUAAAAGUUACAAAGAGUUCAAGUAGAGGGUUUUCUCUGAACUCUACUGACGUUUCCUAAACUAAAAAAGAAAAGAAAUCCUUUAAUUUCAACGGUUUGAGGAAUUCUCUGCUGACUCAAUUGGGACAGUGAAAAACAGCAAGAGCAAGAGCAAAACAGCAGAGUCAGUCUCCCUCCCAGAGCCUUUGCACUUUCUGCUGUUUUUGCAGAAGGAAACUUCCCCCAACUCUCAUGUGGCUUGGGCCCUCGUUGUUUUCAGGUCUUUUCCCAUAGUGAAGCCUUUGUUGUUUAACCCAUCUAAAAGUUCCCUGCCCCGCUGUGACUCUCCCUGUCCCUUUUCCCAGCAUUAUUUGUCAUUUUUAGUACUUGAUACUAACAUACUAGUUGUUUCUUAUGCUGUUGAUUGUUUUUUGUACCCACCUGACAUGUUCACUAUUCACUCUACUCAACCAGGGGUGGUGAUAUUGCAUUCAAAGUCACAAGACCCAGCAGACUUGACUUAGCACCACGCUUACUUAGAUUUUAGAAAAAAAUAUAGGCAAAAUACCAGGUACAGUAACAGUAUAGAAAAGGCCUCUUGACUCUCAGGUGCAGUUUCCAAAUGCCCUGUCAUUCCCCAUUCAGGAUGUG